CCUACGGGAGGCAGCAGUAAGGAAUAUUGGUCAAUGGAGGCAACUCUGAACCAGCCAUGCCGCGUGCAGGAAGAAGGCCCUAUGGGUCGUAAACUGCUUUUGUACCAGAGAAAACCCGAGUACGUGUACUCGGUUGAUAGUAUGGUAAGAAUAAGCAUCGGCUAACUUCGUGCCAGCAGCCGCGGUAAGACGAAGGAUGCAAGCGUUAUCCGGAUUCAUUGGGUUUAAAGGGUGCGUAGGCGGACUGAUAAGUCAGUGGUGAAAUCUCUCAGCUUAACUGAGAAACUGCCAUUGAUACUGUUAGUCUAGAGUAUAGAUGACGUUGGCGGAAUAUGACAUGUAGUGGUGAAAUACUUAGAUAUGUCAUAGAACACCGAUUGCGAAGGCAGCUAACGAAACUAUAACUGACGCUGAGGCACGAAAGUGNGGAGUACAACAGAUAGUAUACCUACGUAGUCGCACGUAACGAUANAUACUCGUUGUUGUNAUAUGUACGUCGAGCGACCGAACGACGAAAGACGAGUAAGUAAGUACCUACCGUUACGGGAGGUACGGCCGGCCGACGGUUACGGAACGUUAAAGGUAAGUUAGACGGCGNGAGACGAGCGACGGACGACGACGAGGGAGGAGG
rnacentral:rRNA from 1 species